UUCAACUUGAGAGUUUGAUCCUGGCUCAGAACGAACGCUGGCGGCAGGCCUAACACAUGCAAGUCGAGCGGGCCCUUCGGGGUCAGCGGCGGACGGGUGAGUAACGCGUGGGAACGUGCCUUUCGGUUCGGAAUAGCCCCGG
rnacentral:rRNA from 1 species